rnacentral:miRNA from 12 species
GGUCCUGGUCCUGAUCCUGAUCCUGAUCCUGAUCCUGAUCCUGAUCCUGAUCCUGGUCCUGGUCCUGACCCUG